rnacentral:rRNA from 1 species
CUUCCGUAGGUGAACCUGCGGAAGGAUCAUUACUGAGAUAGGGUUCUUCUGAGCCCGACCUCCAACCCUUUGUUUAAACUACCUUGUUGCUUUGGCAGGCCCGCCUUUGGGCCGCUGGAGGGGUUAAGUCACCUCUGGUCAGUGCUUGCCAGUAGCCAAUUUAAAUUCUUUUUAACUAUGUCGUCUGAAUAAUAAUUAUAAAUUUAAUUAAAACUUUCAACAACGGAUCUCUUGGUUCUGGCAUCGAUGAAGAACGCAGCGAAAUGCGAUAAGUAAUGUGAAUUGCAGAAUUCAGUGAAUCAUCGAAUCUUUGAACGCACAUUGCGCCCUUUGGUAUUCCGAAGGGCAUGCCUGUUCGAGCGUCAUUAUCAACCAUCAAGCCCGGCUUGUUAUUGGGUCUCUGUAUCGUUAAGAACGAUAGGCCCGAAAGAUAAUGGCGGCGUCAAGAUUGACCCCAGGUGCAGCGAGCUUUAAGCACACACCGAGGGCGUCUUCUUGGGCCUGGCCUAGUUAAAACAUUUUUCUAAGGUUGACCUCGGAUCAAGUAGGAAUACCCGCUGAACUUAAGCAUAUCAAUAAG